GGAGUUUGGUCCGUGUCUCAGUACCAAUGUGGGGGACCUUCCUCUCAGAACCCCUACUGAUCGUCGGCUCGGUGGGCCGUUACCCCGCCGACUGCCUAAUCAGACGCAUCCCCAUCCCUUACCGAUGAAUCUUUGCUCCUCGUUAGAUGCCCGCAAAGGAGAACAUAGGGCAUUAAUCCGACUUUCGCCGGGCUAUUCCCUAGUAAGGGGAAGGUUGGAUACGCGUUACUCACCCGUGCGCCGGUCGCCAUCUAUCAAAGCAAGCUUCGAUAAUGAUGCCCCUCGACUUGCAUGUGUUAAGCCUGUAGCUAGCGUUCAUC
rnacentral:rRNA from 1 species